CGGGUGAGUAAUGUAUGGGGAUCUGCCUGAUGGCGGGGGAUAACUACUGGAAACGGUGGCUAAUACCGCAUAAUGUCUACGGACCAAAGCGGGGGACCUCCGGGCCUCGCGCCAUCAGAUGAACCCAUAUGGGAUUAGCUAGUAGGUAAGGUAACGGCUUACCUAGGCGACGAUCCCUAGCUGGUCUGAGAGGAUGAUCAGCCACACUGGGACUGAGACACGGCCCAG
rnacentral:rRNA from 1 species